UCUUCUAAACAGAGUACAGCUGCUGAUGUGCUGUGUACUGUAGUUGGUGGUGAAGCAGUCUGAAGUAUAAGAGAAAUGUCGAGAGGAAGACAAAAUCAACGCUUGAAGAAACUGAUCAUCCUUCGAGGUUUGCCAGGAGUUGGAAAGACAAGCAAGGCAGAAAUGCUCUGUGAUGAAUAUGCAGGACUUGGACUGGAAGGAGAAAUUUUCUCCACUGACAGGUACCAUGAAAGAACCGACUACACCAAAGGAAACUUUCAACGCAACCAUCGGCGGAAUAGAGAGGAUGGUGUGUAUUGGGUGGCUGGGGGCAGGGGCAGAAACAAUCUGCUCAUGAUGUCAUUACACACACAUAGUUUGUUCUUCUUUAAAGUACUGGUACUCUGGCUUGUUUUGACAGUUUUUAAAGCCUUGAACAGAGGAGUGGAUCCGAUCAUCGUUGACAACACAAACAUUUCUCUUUGGGAGAUGUGGCCCUAUAUCCACAUGGUGAGGACGUGUGUGUGUGUGUGUGUGUGUGUGUGUGUGUGUGUGUGUGUGUGUGUGUGUGUGAUAUGCAUAUGAUUUCUAGUUUAGUUAGUCCCAGCUACCAGGCAUUGCAGAGAUAUUUUAAUGUUAUUUUUGUAACUCUCCACUUAUUUUCUAGUCAUUGUCACAUCCUUUGUACAUGAGAACCUAAACAGCAUCUGACUCACUACAAGACUGGUUGAAGCUGGUUUCCAGAUGACUUCCUACUAGGUGGCGCUAGAGGCGGAGUCAGAUAGUUUCCUCUUGGUUAGACAUGUUGUUGAUAAAUCUGACACUUUAUUCUACUUUUUACGAUGUUAUUAAUAUCCCAAUUGGUCUUCUGACAGACAAAUGGACAGAUUAAACAGAUUCAUGUCAUAAUAAAGUAUUCUUUCUCUCAGGGGAUGCGACAGGGUGACUAUGACAUCACUAUGAUGGAGCUGCCUAAAGGCUAUCCUCAGGAAAAAAUCUCCAUCAACAAGCUGUACAGGUCAGAAACAACCUCUUCAUUAACAGCCUACAUUCUCACAGUGUAUACACAGUACAUGUGCAUUGGGGUAGGAUUGUAUACUUGUUUAUCAGUUUUACAGCCGACAAUAGAUUGUUAUUACUUAUCUAUAAAUUACACAUUGGUUAUCAAUUCAAUGAUAAAAAAGCUGUGUUAUCUCCCUAUAGAUGGUGUAAGCAUAAGAUCCCCAAGCGUAAGUUCAGGUACUUUGAGGCUCGCUGGGAAGAAGCUUACAACAUCUGGCAUGUAUUUAACGACAGCUACUCCAUAAACCGCUGGAAGAGAAGCAAAGAGAAAUGGAACGUCCAGUGAUGAAGACAUGCUGGCCUUCUCCCCCCCCCAAAGUCCCCAAAAUCCAGAACAAAUUCAAGAAAAUGUACAGUAUUAUAUAGAGCCCUUAUUGCAUGGAACUUCCUUCCAUCUCAUAUUACUCAAAUAAACAGCAAACCUGGUUUCAAAAAACAGAUAAAGCAACACCUCGUGGCACAACGCCUCUCCCCUAUUUGACCUAGAUAGUUUAUGUGUAUGUAUUGAUAUGUAGGCUACGUGUGCCUUUUAAAAAUGUAUGUAGUUCUGUCCUUGAGCUGUUCUUGUCUAAUGAUGUUCUGUAUUAUGUCAUUCUGUAUUAUGUUUCAUGUUUUGUGUUGACCCCAGGAAGAGUAGCUGCUGCUUUUGCAACAGAUAAUGGGGAUCCUAUUAAAAUACCAA
ensembl:lncRNA NEDD4-binding protein 2-like 1